rnacentral:rRNA from 1 species
UACGGGGGGGGUAAGCGUUGUUCGGAAUUACUGGGCGUAAAGGGCUCGUAGGCGGCCAACUAAGUCAUACGUGAAAUCCCUCAGCUUAACUGGGGAACUGCGUGUGAUACUGGAUGGCUUGGAUUUGGGAGAGGGAUGCGGAAUUCCAGGUGUAGCGGUGAAAUGCGUAGAUAUCAGGAAGAACAUCGGUGGCGAAGGCGCUCUGCUGGACCAUAACUGACACUCAGGGACGAAAGCUAGGGGAGCGAAUGGG